AUGCAAAGCAGUGUACACUUGUGCACUUCAAAAAUUCAUUGUAUACUGUACCUUCUUGCACGUCUCUGUUUCCUGUGUGUGUUGUUAGAAAUCAAACUAACUUUAGGAAACAAUAUGCCAAAAGCAUAUUUACAAUUACUUAAGACCGUUUUUAAUUUCUUUUCUUUAGACCAAAUCCCCUGUACACAUAUACGGACUCAGAGGAUGAGCAGCCUACAAAAAAAACUGUUUCCCCAGGCCCCUCGAGUGAAAAUACCAGCCCUCAUCACUCCAGUCUGCCCCCCAGCCCACUGAUAGCAACCAUCAUAAUGCCACACCCAGCUUCCGGCACCUUUCGCCACUCCGGCACAAACCGACACAGCUUUGCGAUCUCGCCAGCAUGCAGAGUCUGAUGUCUUCCCUAUAGAUGGUAUGCUUUUAAAAAAGCUUUAAAGCUGCAUCACAAUGUCAUUGUACUCUUAUCUAAAAAAAAAAAAAAAAAAACCCCAAUUUAUACUCCUGAAUGUCAUCUUGUUGUGAUUUUUUUUUUUUUUUUCCUGCAGAUUCCAGAGACUCUGUGAGGCCACCAUUACAAGGCAAGUUUGAAAAUCUUGGAAUUUCACAGUUUACAUGGUAUAACAAAUAUGUGACAGGCAAAAACUAGUAAACACUUUUAGCAGUUACAAGAACUAACAAAUGAAUAUCCAACAAAAGGGAAUAGAAAUACAUUGUACUGCCAAUACUUUGGUUUAUUCUUUGUAUGACUUGAAAAUCAGGCUUUAGGGAAAACUAAAUGACAUGUUUCUAUCAUCAAUUACAUGAAGUAAACACACAAGCACUUGCAUACACAUUUAAGACAUGAGACACGCUAAUUCCAUCUCUUAAAAUGUGUCUAUAGGUGAGACGCUUUGCGUUGAUUGGUGCUGCUGGACCACACUGGAGGUGCGAGUCCGCCGUGUAAUGGUUUAUGCCAUUACAAAGGAGCUGGCCUCUGUACUCAACUGGGCAGGGAAAAAAAACCAAGGACCAGACAAAGCAAAAAAGGGCAUUUAAAGAGACAGCGCUGUGCAGAUGCAUAUUUGGUAAGUUUUACUGUUAAUUGUAGUUUUAUGAGCCUAAAGUGAACAAUAAAGGGAUCAAUUGAUGUGCUGGGUGCGUUUCACAUUUCCUAUGUCUGUUUUUUGCUAUAUUACUUUGUCUUUCUUAAUAACAAGACUUUCAUGUCCGGUUAAUCUGGAGAUGGAGUCUUUGGUCUUCGGCUUGUUUUGUCCUCGGGUUGUACACUUUGUACAGCCCGAGGACCCCAUGUUUUCUUUUUUCUUUUUUUUUUUAAAGGAUACACGGCACACCAUGCUAAGACAUAUCACAUUUUCAGCUUAUAGCUCUUUGGGAAUCAAAUGCAGCAGUUUGCUGAUUUCCGCCUGGUGACUUUCAUGUUUAUCAGCCUAGGAGUUUACAUACUUUCUCCCUGCUGAAGACAAUUAACAAGAGCUUAUUCAUGUGCUCUAAUUCCCUUUUUUUUGUCUUUGUUUUUUUUUUGUGUGUGUGUGUCUAUUUUUGUCCUAGAUGGCCUGGCGUAGCAGGUAGGGGCGAACUCUAUGUCUGAGUUGGUCUUUGCUCAAGCAGUCCAGAAAUGGCUCAGAUAUGCUCCAGAUCGUACGGAUGGCGCGCAGGACACACAUCAUCCAUCCCCAUCCCGGAGUAAAUAAUAAAAAGUGACGUGAAACAUAGAAAUGUAAAUAGGAAACUUUGUCUUUUAAUAAAGUAUUUUGCAAAUGAUACAUGUCUAUUGACCUUUUUUGUGUUUUUUUUUUUUGUUUUUUUUUUUCAAUAAAAAGCAACUGUGCAAAAGAGGUGGAAAAUUAACACCUUAGCUCAACAGUGUUUCAAUAUCAGAAUCUGACAUUGUUUCAAUGUCAACAGUAUUCGAAAAUAUAACGUCGAAUCAAUGUCAGGUUUCAACAUUGAUUCAACAUCAAAACCUGACGUUGUUUCAACGUUAAAAAUGGGUGCAAGAGUGACGUUGGGUCAACGUCACACUUCAACGUUGCUUCAAUGACGUCGCCUGAUAUUGACUCAACAUUGUUUCAAUGUUUCCUUGCUAUCUGGGUAUUCAUGUGCUCUAAUUCCCUUUUUUUUGUCUUUGUUUUUUUGUGUGUGUGUGUCUAUUUUUGUCCUAGAUGGCCUGGCGCAGCAGGUAGGGGCGAACUCUAUGUCUGAGUUGGUCUUUGCUCAAGCAGUCCAGAAAUGGCUCAGAUAUGCUCCAGAUCGUACGGGUGGCGCGCAGGACGCACAUCAUCCAUCCCCAUCCCGGAGUAAAUAAUAAAAAGUGACGUGAAACAUAGAAAUGUAAAUAGGAAACUUUGUCUUUUAAUAAAGUAUUUUGCAAAUGAUAAAUGUCUAUUGACCUUUUUUGUUUUUUUUCAAUAAAAAGCAACUGUGCGAAAGAGGUGGAAAAUCAAUACCAUAGCUCAACAGUGUUUCAAUAUCAGAAUCUGACAUUGUUUCAAUGUCAACAGUGUUAGAAAAUCUAACGUCGAAUCAAUGUCAGGUUUCAACAUUGAUUCAACAUCAAAACCUGACGUUGUUUCAACGUUAAAAAUGGGUGCAAGAGUGAUGUUGGGUCAACGUCACACUUCAACGUUGCUUCAAUGACGUCGCCUGAUAUUGACUCAACAUUGUUUCAAUGUUUCCUUGCUAUCUGGGUAGUGUUAAAAUACCCAUUUAAUGUCAUAAUUGCAGUGUCAUUGGGGGUAGUAGUGUUCUUCUUCUAUCCCAGUCAGCUGUUAUAACUGCACAGUUACAGUGUUAUUAAUGCAGUA
ensembl:lncRNA